rnacentral:rRNA from 1 species
ACGGAGGAAAAGAAACCAACAGGGAUUGCCUCAGUAGCGGCGAGUGAAGCGGCAAGAGCUCAGAUUUGAAAUCGCAGUGCUUGCGCUGCGAGUUGUAGAUUGCAGGUGGGAGAGUCUGRGUAGGCCGGUGUCGAAGUCCCUUGGAACAGGGCGCCACUGAGGGUGAGAGCCCCGUGCGAUGCCGUGCUUUCUGCGCUUUGUACUCCCCUCUGACGAGUCGAGUUGUUUGGGAAUGCAGCUCUAAGUGGGUGGUAAAUUCCAUCUAAGGCUAAAUACUGGCGAGAGACCGAUAGCGAACAAGUACUGUGAAGGAAAGAUGAAAAGCACUUUGAAAAGAGAGUGAAACAGCACGUGAAAUUGUUGAAAGGGAAGGGUAUUGGGCCCGACAUGGGAAUCGCGCACCGCUGCUCCUUGUGGGCGGCGCUCUGGGCUUUUCCUGGGCCAGCAUCGGUUCUUGCUGCAGGAGAAGGGGCUGUGGAAUGUGGCUGCCGCGCUUUGUCGGGGCAGUGUUAUAGCCACUGGGCCAGAUGCUGCGUGUGGGGACCGAGGACUGCGACCGCAAGGUCUCGGAUGCUGGCACAACGGCGCAAUACCGCCCGUCUUG